rnacentral:lncRNA from 1 species
GGGGGAAGCAUUUUUGUGGUCAUGUUUCUGGUGUCUUCUGGAGUCUUGUUCCUGUGACCUGUUGCAUGGGCAGUUGUUGGGUGAAAAUGGGGACUGGAACCAUCUGGCUGGAGUCCCUGGACCUGGCUGUACAUGGGCUUCUAGAAGGCUGCUGCCGUUGGACUCCAGAGCGGACAAGGAUGGACCAGAGAGUGCUGUCCUGCUGUGGGGACGAGUGUCAGAUGGCGAGCCCGGCUGUGACCGCCUGCCUUGAUGCAGUCUGCCUGAAACCUGGACGGCCACUUCCUUCCCGGUGCCUCUAGCUCUCAGCCCCUGUUGCCUGUGGGAUUGUCUCUAGGAUGGAGGCCUGUGUCCGGCUCCACAGUGCUAGGGCUUAUUAAGUGUCUCCUUAAAGUUACCAAAGCAAGGCUGGAGGGCAUGUGCUGGAGGCCAGGCCAGGAGUGUCCCCACCUCCUCUCUGUGGAUGGACAGAUGCUGUACCAGGGGCUAAAGUCCUGCCCCGCCCCCUCUGCCAUCUCAAUACUGUACCUGAAGUGUACCUCUGAUGCAUCCGAUGUGUAAGCCUGUCAUUUGUGUUUUUGUGAGAUGCUGAUGUGCUGCUUAGUAUGUGCAAGGCCAUCCGGUGAGAUACCGUGUCCAUUAAAACUAGAGCAGUCCUGGGCCACUGCAGAGGAGUGGCACUUGUGGGAGCUGGCCUGUGGGUUUCUUUACCGCUCCCCAGGUGGAGGGUCCUGGUGGAGCCCAGCUGGCCCCUCCUGGUCUGCUGGGGAGUGCUGGCCUGGCAGGCGGGUGGAGGUGGGGCUCUAGGCCAGGGAGGCUGUGGUCUGUGGCUGGAUUGUUCCGAGCCUCCGCCCUCUCCUGCAGCCUUUGUUGCAGGUCUGUCCUGAAUUCCUGGCAUUUCUCCUCCUGCCUGCAACCCCUCUGGCCUGGCCUCGGGCUGCACCUGGGUGUGAGCCCCAGAAGACAGCUUCUGCUCAGGGCCCUCUUCUGUCUUGGGAGCUUUAACCUUGAGCCAGGGCCUCCACCUGCACCUCUGCUCAGCGUAGUAAGGACACUGCCUGUCAUGUGCCUGGGACUUCCUGGGGUAGGGUGUAUGUGUGGUGGGGUGGACUUUGGCAUCUCCCACCACCUGGUGCUGUGACCUUGGGAGCAGGCCGCACCAACCCCUGGUGUUUCUGGGCCUGAGCAGUGGUUGGAAACAGGUCCCUGUUCUGGCCUUGCUCACAGCUUGUUCUUGCCAAGGCCUGCCAAUCUUGCAGCUUUUGCUGGGCUCCUUCUCUAGGUCUAGGUGCCCCUUCAUCCGGGCAUCCUGGUCUGUGAGCUGGUUGGACAAGGCUGGCUCCAACCAGCCAGCCCCACUGUCCCGGCUGCCUGGGACUGUCCCAGCUGCGGCCAGGCUCCAGAGUCAGGAGCAGCUGGACCUCUGCCUGAGUCUGCAGAGAAGUGCCCUUGGCAUGGACACUGCAGGUGACCUGUGACCCCUCUGUACUCAGCUUUGGUUUUUUCCAGAGAGUCUAGGGAUGGGAACUUGAGCCUACUAGAAAGUUGCUCCUUUUCAAGAUGGAGCUGUGCCCUUUGAGAUGCUGUGACUUCCUUGGAGGGACCCUGAAUGGACUGUCCCAGGGAUAUGGUUGGGGGGUGGGGGGUGGGCAGGCAGUGGAGGAAUUCUGUGGAGGCCAGGUGUGUCUAGGAACCUCACUCUCUCUGGGCCUCGGACUCCCUGCUGCUGUGGGUGCGGGCCUUGGCAGCCUCCCCCCCACCCCUGCCCCUGCCUGGUGCUGGCUGACUGUCCUGACGGCAUCGUGGACAGCCAUCAUGGACAGCCAAUGGCAGCCAAGCCCAGGAACAAGCGCUCUUUGCUUUUCACUUACAACCACUUGCUCCAGUUUCAAAGAGUGUCUGGAUCCUCCCAUGAGAUGGAACAAGAAUUGCUACAGCAGGGACACCCCCCAACCCCCACCCAGAGCAUACUACUAAGGUCACAGGAAGAAGCUGGAUUUGAGCUCAAGCCUCAGUCACUGCUCACAUGUUCCCCUGAUGGGGGCGUCCUGGACUGCUGCUAGCACCCUGUGUCACAGCUGAGAAACUGAGGCAUGCAGAGGCUUUGGGACUGUCCCAAUCUCUAACCUAGGAACCCUGAUGUCCGAUGCCUCUAGCCUGGACUGGUGGCCCUUCCUGCACCUCCCUGACCUGCUGGAAAUUGGCUGAGGCCAGGGUGCAGCAUCCUAGGCUCAGGGGUGCAGUCCGAGAGUGGAGGGCCUUCAGCAUCCUCCCCAGUAAGGUAAGGUGAGGGGACGGAGAGGCUUAGGGCCCAGGCAGCCUCCCAAGAAUGCUCAGGGGGGACUGUCACCUUAAGGCCUGUUCUGCUUCAAGCAGGGUGCAGUGGGUGUUGGGGUGUGGGGCAUGGCCUCAGUCCUGGGAAUGAUGACAAAAUAAUAGGUCCCCAGUUCCCAGGCUGAGCCCCGAGAGCUGGGUGCUCCACUGUAGUCGUGUGGCCUGGCCUGUGUUCCAGACGGCUGUGACAGACGGGUCGGCGUUAAGCUGUGCUUUGGAUUAAAAGUACUUUAGUGACAAUGCUUGAUAUUUCAUUUUUGGCUCUGAUAGAAAGUUUAAAAUAGUUUGAUUUAAUUUUUUUUAAAAGAAUGUUGGUUUAAAUUAAAAAUUCACUUGCGCAGAGUGGAGGCAGCUUGCACGUUG